GAAUAAUACUCAUUUAAUCCUCUUCUUUAGGCUUAAUUGACUUAAGAACUUCAUCCCUAAUCUUAUCUCCCACUCCUCGUGCUAGUAGACUACUAUUGGUCUUAUCAAAAAUAGCGUGGCCAUAAGAUGUGAGCCUAUCACCUAUAGACAACAUAAAAGUGUACUUCAUUGCACUUGCUAAACGAUGAUCCCAUUCAUUUUUAAGCAACAAUUGUAAAUCCUUAUAUGUCUUACUUAUUUCAACAUUUUUUCAAAAGUAUUUUAUAAUUUCAAAUCAAUCUUGUGGUAGAGUUUCUGCAAGCAGAUUUACUUUCAUAUUUUGAUAUUCUUUGAGUAUUCAAUAUCUAUUUGUAUUUAUUGUCCAGGUGGGUAAUAUGCUCAACCAGAUCAAAAUCUGAAUUCACCUCCUCUUUUUUAUACAAGCAAAUCAACUUACAUUCAAACUUUCUAAUUACAUAAAGUAGUUUAAGAAUUAUUUUGGUUCUCUUUAGGUGUGCCAUCUGUACAAAAUAAAUUCGUACGCACGUCAAAGAACAAUUGGCAAAAAAACUCCAUAUUUAAAAUCUAAAUAUAUAAAGGAUGUAAAUAUAUAAAAACAUUUAGAUAUAUGAAACAUAUAAACAAAAUAUUAUUCUUAUUAUUAUUUAAAUUAAAAUUAUAUUUUAAAUCUUUUUAUUUAAUCUCACGGCUCGCGCUCGCAUGCGAAUGCACAGCAUCAGGCAUCAAUACAUGCAUGCUAUGUGGAUGUGCUGUAUCUAGGAGGUGUAAAUGGAUUUGAUCGAAUCAGAUCAUGAGUAACCUCGAUCCGACCCAAUCCCUUGAUUGGAUCCUAAUAUUAGACCUAGAUCCAAUCCAAUUAAAAAUCAGAUCGGAUCGGAUCCAUAAUCAAAAAGUCUGUCCCAUUAGAUCAUUUGAGUCGAAUUGGGUCCAUGUAUAAUUCGACCUCAAUCUAAAAAUUUUGGAUCCGGUUCGGAUUUUGUUCGUAUGAUAAACCAAUAUAUACAAAGUUUAUGACAAAAGAAAAUAAAUAUUACUUUACCUUGACUAUUAAUUUAUAAGUAAUUUCUCAAAAUCUCAUAGUCAAAUUAAGUAAAACUGUAUGAAAAAUAACAAUACUACAAGAACAUUUAGAAUUCUAAUCCCAUUUUAUUUAUUCUAUAGUUUACAUAUUAGAUUCAAUACUGAAUUCGGAUCGGAUCGGAUCGGAUCCGAAUUCAGAAAAUCCAGACCUGAUCCAAAAUAUUGAACGGAUCCAAUUUUAGAACCCGAUCCGACCCCGUGAGUCCUUUAAAACGGAUUGGAUUGGGUCUAAGUGGAUCGGGCUGGGUUGGGUCACGGGUCGACCCGAACCAUUUGCAGCCUUAGCUAUAUCCAAGCACAAAUACGCGCUCCUUUUAUACGUGAGCCAUCAACCCUUCAUAAUUAUCGUGUCCUCUUUUAUUAUUAUUAUCUGUGGAAAGAGUCCACCGUGGUGGUUUGCCACUGAGGCCUUCGCGCAUCACCGAUGCAUUGUACUGCAGCUAUGGGUGGCCAUCAGGUCGGAUCAGGUCAUAAAUAGAUCGGAUCAGAAAAUGAUCAAUCCAAAUUCAAUCUGUUUAUUAAAUGGUUCAAAAAUUCAAAUCUGAAUCCGACCUAUUUAUUAAAUAAGUAACCCAAUCCGAUUCGUUUAAUCCAUUUAUUAAAUAUAUCAAAUUAGAUUAAACGGG
rnacentral:lncRNA from 1 species